GGAAAUGUGCCCGAACGCCUAAGGAAUACUUUGAUAGAGUAGCACACAGGGGUUAAAAUCCCCUCAUUUCCU
rnacentral:tRNA from 1 species